CGCUCUGCAUAUGCGCAUACACAAAACAUUGGAACAAUACAGAAAAGAUUAGCAUGGCCCCUGUGCAAGGAUGACACACAAAUCUGUGAGGCAUUCCAUUUUUUU
ensembl:snRNA U6 U6 spliceosomal RNA